rnacentral:tRNA from 1 species
GCGUCCAUGAUGUAGUGGUAGCCUGCUGCUUUUCCAAGGCGGAUGUGUGGGUUCGAUUCCCAUUGGACGCU